GGGAGUGUAUAAAUAAUAACAUGUUUAAUAUUGAGUUGACAGGAAGUGUGUUCAACUGCUGUGUCUGAACUGUUUCCCUCUUAGAAAAGUCAUAAGAAAAAUGAACAGUAGGUUUUACUGUAUGUACGUAGUACUGUGGUCUUACCUGUACUGUACGUACAUGGUAUGUACAGUACAGGUGGAGUGAGGCGUGUCUUUAAAACAAUCUGAACGUUAAUCUGUUUUCUACCAUGUAUUCAGGGUCGUGUACAGAGACAAACAGACUCAAUUAAAAAUGAACAGUUAACCUUCAAAUCUGUGUUUUUAGAAUUUGAACCCACUGACAGGACGGCACUGUGUGAAAAAAAACUCACUCUGUUUUGCAAUAUUGUGGGGAACCAAUGAGCAUGUUGUUGCUGUGGUGGCAGCGACGGCCAUGCUGAGACUUGUACUUGUAGCAACUUUAGCACAUAUUUUUCUCCCCCCUUAGGGUGUUUGUGGACAAAAACAAGACUGUAACUUUAUAUAAGGAUCAAAAAUCAUAACAUUAACCCCGCCCCAGGGUCUGAUCCACCCAGGAGGUGGGAGUUACACAUACAGGUGGGAAUGACAAAACCUUCCCCAUGGGUCCAAACAUGAUCACGUUUGAUUAUUAACAGGAGCUAAUGUUACCUGACUGUGUCCAACAUUCAAUGGCGUCUUUCUCUGAACUACAGUCACACUUUAACCGCCGAGUAUCAUCACUCAACACUGUGUGGGCGGGGGGGUUACAGGCCAAACCCCAACCUUUAAAAACUUUUGAUAAAACAACCUACAGUAAACAUCAUUCAGAUGAAACGUACAGUUUGUUCGUCACACACGGAGGGGAAUGUGAGGACAGAGCCGCCAGGGUAAACGGGAUGGGCAAAGACUGAGGAAGUGACGCGAACGUGCAGGAUGAGCGCGCCCUCGACUUUUCCAGACAGUGGCGAGUCCAGGCCAGGGCCAAGGGUGGCGACGGCGGCCACCCUUUGAAAACUGCUGUCUUUUAAAACCAUCUACCUCCGAUACAUUUUUCCGAGGACGACACGUGACGCACGAGACGCGACGAUGGACAUUUACAGAGUAACUUUGUCAAUGGAGAGUAAAGUUGACUUGUUGACGCAACUCUGGAAAUCUAUCUAAUCAAAAUUAUACUGAGGUUUAGGGUUAGUACAAGUAUCUGCUUCUGGAUGCGCUCUGGAUGUAUGAAGUUAAUUGAAAAUUACAUUACAUUUAGCAGAUGCUUUUAUUCAAAGCCACUUACAAUUUGAGUCAGCCAAUCAACAAUCAAGCCACAGUAAACAGACAAAAAUACAUAAAUAAAAAUAAAAAGUAUCAAUUAAUAAAAAGGUCCAGUUCUAGUCAUAGUAGUUCAUAGAGUAAGAAGGGGUUUAUGUUGAUGUCAGUGGGUUUGUUAGGAGACGACACUGUAAUACGGUAUAUAAUGGUAUGUAUAUAUGUAUAUGUAUAUUGUCAUGAAUAAUGCUAUAUAUGUGUAUAUAUAUAUAUAUAUGUAUAUAUAUAUAUAUAAUAUUAUUAGGAAUAAUAAUAAUAAUAAAUGAAAAGAAGUCUUAAUGUUCAAGAGGUAUUGAAGACUCUGGCUGCAGCGCCACCUGUUGAAGAAAAUGUUCCUCUUCCACUGCGGCUCUCUGUACUUUUCUCUUUAUUUUUGUAUACUUAAAUACUGCGAUUUUUAUAUCCUACAAAUCUUUCUCUAAAUAUGAUGGAAUGUAUGUGUAUGUGGCACUGUUAACUGUAUUCUGUUUUUAAUUGUUAUUUUUCUUCUUUUGGGAUUAUUAUCUGUCUUCCAGUGUCCAUAUUUAUCUCAUCUAAAUCAGUGCUCCAGAAGGAGAGUAUGUUAGGACUCUUUUAGAAAACCGACAAAUUCCUAGGUUUUAUGAAAUGUUUUAAGCCUAAAAAGUUGUGUGGUUAAUGUGUAACUUUGUUGUCACACAGAGACUUGUUUCUUUUCAUGGAAAAAGAUGGUUUUGAGUUGACGUUUGUCUUUAUUUGUGACACAUGAAAUGACUUUAUCCACUGAAGGUCCAGAUAAAGAGGGAUUCUCAUCCAAAGACUGAGAGAAACAAAGUCUGUGUUCAUAUUCAGGAGAGAACUGACACUUUGGGAGUACUUUGACCUCCUUCCUGUCAAGGGUUGAAAAAAUAGGAAGACAACCAAACUCCAGGUUCUCAAACAAUGGUGUCACGUUGAAUCAUUGUUCUUGAGAUCUUGUCAAAAUGCUGAACAUAUUUGUGAGAUGACGUGCUUAAAACACAACAAUGCAAAAUACAUGUUUGAACAGGAGUUGGUGAUUUAAUUUUAAUCAUAUACAGUACAUUAUAACAUAUAUUGACCACAUGCAAAUAUACAGACCAAAUAUACAUUGCUAGUGCAUUUACACACACACACACAGUUAUUAUUUAAAUUACACAAGAACAGAUUCCUUUGGCAGAAACCAGUGUGUCAUUCCUGUGGGGGUGAGACUCACAGACAGGAAAUGACUCCACUCUGUGUAACACACACACACACACACACACUCAUUCAAUGACUUCCCACAGCUGUGUGUUGCUCACAUGGAGCAUGGUAGGUAAUGAAUACAAGUCACCUAAACAAAUGAGUAAAUGUAUAACAUUUAUGUUGUGUACAUGAUUGAUUGGCUGCUGUUAUCCUGCAGGACUCCUCUCAUAUCCUUCUCUAGUGUUUGGGUAGCUGCCAUCAUUCACUUGGCAGAACCCACAGGAGGCUGUAUUCAAUAUAAUCUCUCAAACUUUACAAGAACUAAGUGCUUUUCACUAUUACUCAAAGUGUAUCUAUGACAUAUAUGUAUAUGUGUGAGGCAUCAGUCUGUAAUUACUGAUUAAUGUCACAGCACAUGUUGUUUUUCAACGUAUAUUCUGACAAGUGUGUUUCUUUGUGAGCAGUGGUGGCUUAGUGGCUAAGAAAGUGGACUUGGGUCUGGAAGGCUUCAGGUUGGAGUCCACCAGAUGCCAAGUUACCAAUGAGGUGCUCUGAGCAUGGCAACAUCCCCACACACUGCUCCCCUUAAAGCUGCCCCCUGCUGGCUGUGGUGAUAGGCUAAAAGCAGAGGUUCAAUUUUGUUGUAUCCCCGUGUUACAAUGACAAUAAAGACUAUCAUUUAA